CCCUUAGAUGUUCUGGGCCGCACGCGCGCUACACUGAUGCAUUCAACGAGCCUAUCCUUGACCGACAGGUCCGGGUAAUCUUUGAAUCUGCAUCGUGACGGGGAUAGAUUAUUGCAAUUAUUAAUCUUCAACGAGGAAUGCCUAGUAGGCGCAAGUCAUCAGCUUGCGUCGAUUACGUCCCUGCCCUUUGUACACACCGCCCGUCGCUCCUACCGAUUGGGUGUGCUGGUGAAAUGUUCGGAUCGGCCGUUUGUCGCGGUUUCCGCGGCUCGUGGCUGAGAAGUUCAUUAAACCCUCCCACCUAGAGGAAGGGGAAGUCGUAACA
rnacentral:rRNA from 1 species